GUUGUUUUCAGUGAGCCUGUGUUUCCGCAUUUCGAACAGGAGGUGAUUAGUGUGUAAACAAACAUAUUAGCGCACAUGACGUACCUAAGCUGUUCGUCAGCUACGAGAAAUACCAGAUCGACGUUGGCUUAUGAGGGUAAUCAUGGACUGCAAGGGAACUAAUUUGCUGGAAAAAGAGAAGAAUGAAGUAUAUGCUGAAUCAGGCGCAUUGUUUCUUGAAGAUCCACUAAAGAUGCCUAGUCAACAUGAACUGAAACAGGA